rnacentral:lncRNA from 1 species
GAAAACAGCUAAGUUUACAGAAGGGAAAAGAAGCUUGCUUGCUUGCUUUUUUUGUCUGUCUUUCUCUCUCUCCCCCUCUCUCUCUCUCUCUCUCUCUCUUCAUAAGCUGUGUUUUGGGAAGGGAGAAUAUAUGAGUGUGUUUUGUUGUAGUGAAGGUUUCUGUUAAUGAUUGCUGAAGCUCUCUUCCUUCAUGUCAAUCACCAGAGGUAAUUGUUCAGACUGACAUUUGACAAGCUCUAUGAGGAGCAUCUCAAAAGGAGGCCUUGGGACAGCACUACAGGAACGUGCAGAGCGUACAAUUGUGCAUGAUGAAGUGGCUGUGAAAUGAAUUAGCUGUAGCCCUGCAGCAUGCCGUGAGAGACUCUACAAGCCAGAUGUUUUGCCAGCAAAGAGGGAUCUUAGGAUUUUGGACUCAGUCAGAGCAGCUACAAGAGUCACAGUUGGAAAAUCUCACCAGGUCAAUCUGUUGCAAUGCCGCCUUGCUAUUACCAUGCUGCAGUUGCUGAGGUCUCCAUCUGCAGCACGUGUUGGUGUUGGACCACUCUGGUAUCUGCAUUUUGUACCUCCAAUGAGUCAGAACCUGUGUGCAGGGAUG